UACGUAGGGGGCAAGCGUUGUCCGGAUUCAUUGGGCGUAAAGAGCUCGUAGGCGGCUUGGCAAGUCGGGUGUGAAAACUCCAGGCUCAACCUGGAGACGCCACCCGAUACUGCCAUGGCUUGAGUCCGGUAGGGGAGACUGGAAUUCCUGGUGUAGCGGUGAAAUGCGCAGAUAUCAGGAGGAACACCGGUGGCGAAGGCGGGUCUCUGGGCAAUAACUGACGCUGAGGAGCGAAAGCGUGGGGAGCGAACAGG
rnacentral:rRNA from 1 species